rnacentral:ncRNA from 2 species
AAGUGCGCGCCGCUUUAAGGUUCCCGUCUGCACGCAGACGGGUUAAACGGGAAACAGGUGAGGGAAUACCCCGAUGCCUGUGCUGCCCCCGCAACGGUAAGCGAGUGCGGAUCUGCCAACAUGCCACUGUGAGCAAUCAUGGGAAGGCGGCAGAUCAAGACUCGCGAGCCCGGAGACCGGCCUUGGGCGAGGUUCAGGA